rnacentral:hammerhead_ribozyme from 1 species
AUCCAUCUGACGAGUCCCAAAUAGGACUAGAUGUUCAUCCUUGAU